rnacentral:rRNA from 1 species
UACGGGGGGAGCAAGCGUUGUUCGGAUUUACUGGGCGUAAAGCGCGCGUAGGCGGUCCCUUAAGUCUGGUGUGAAAGGUUCAGGGCUCAACCCGAAGAGGGCACUGGAGACUGGGGGACUUGAGUUUGGGAGAGGAGAGUGGAAUUCCUGGUGUAGCGGUGAAAUGCGUAGAUAUCAGGAGGAACACCGGUGGCGAAGGCGGUUCUCUGGGCAUGUCCUGACGCUGAGGAGCGAAAGUGUGGGGAGCGAACAGG